UAGGGAAUCUUCGGCAAUGGGGGGAACCCUGACCGAGCAACGCCGCGUGAGUGAAGAAGGUUUUCGGAUCGUAAAGCUCUGUUGUUAAGGAAGAACGAGUGUGAGAAUGGAAAGUUCAUGCUGUGACGGUACUUAACCAGAAAGGGACGGCUAACUACGUGCCAGCAGCCGCGGUAAUAAGUAGGUCCCGAGCGUUGUCCGGAUUUAUUGGGCGUAAAGCGAGCGCAGGCGGUUAGAAAAGUCUGAAGUGAAAGGCAGUGGCUCAACCAUUGUAGGCUUUGGAAACUGUUUAACUUGAGUGCAGAAGGGGAGAGUGGAAUUCCAUGUGUAGCGGUGAAAUGCGUAGAUAUAUGGAGGAACACCGGUGGCGAAAGCGGCUCUCUGGUCUGUAACUGACGCUGAGGCUCGAAAGCGUGGGGAGCGAACAGG
rnacentral:rRNA from 1 species